rnacentral:rRNA from 1 species
GACGAACGCUGGCGGCGUGCUUAACACAUGCAAGUCGAACGGAAAGGCCUUUUCGGAGGUACUCGAGUGGCGAACGGGUGAGUAACACGUGGGUGAUCUGCCCUGCACUCUGGGAUAGGCCUGGGAAACUGGGUCUAAUACCGGAUAGGACCGCACUUUAGUGUGUGUGGUGGAAAGUUUUUUCGGUGUAGGAUGAGCCCGCGGCCUAUCAGCUUGUUGGUGGGGUAAUGGCCUACCAAGGCGGCGACGGGUAGCCGGACUGGGAGGUUGGUCGGCCACAGUGGGACCUAGGUACGGCCCCGGCUCCUACGGGGGGCAGAAGGGCGGAAUAUUGCACAAUGGGCGCAAGCCUGAUGCAGCGACGCCGCGUGGGGGAUGACGGCCUUCGGGUUGUAAACUCCUUUCGCCAGGGACGAAGCGUUUUGUGACGGUACCUGGAGAAGAAGCACCGGCUAACUACGUG